rnacentral:pre_miRNA from 1 species
GAUGUACUCCCUCUGUCCGAAAAUUCUUGUCUUAGAUUUGUCUAGAUACGGAUGUAUCUAAUACUAAAACGUGACUUGAUACAUCCGUAUUUAGACAAAUCUAAGACAAGAAUUUUGGGACGGAGGGAGUAGCUU